rnacentral:rRNA from 1 species
CUACGGGCGGCUGCAGUGGGGAAUAUUGGGCAAUGGGCGCAAGCCUGACCCAGCAACGCCGCGUGAGGGAAGAAGGUUUUCGGAUUGUAAACCUCUGUCCUUGGGGACGAAGAAGUGACGGUACCCAAGGAGGAAGCUCCGGCUAACUACGUGCCAGCAGCCGCGGUAAUACGUAGGGAGCGAGCGUUGUCCGGAAUUACUGGGCGUAAAGGGUGCGUAGGCGGCAUAUUAAGUCAGGUGUGAAAUACUCGGGCUCAACCCGAGGGCUGCACUUGAAACUGGUAAGCUUGAGUGUGAGAGAGGAAAGUGGAAUUCCUAGUGUAGCGGUGAAAUGCGUAGAUAUUAGGAGGAACACCAGUGGCGAAGGCGACUUUCUGGCUCAUAACUGACGCUGAGGCACGAAAGCGUGGGGAGCAAACAGGAUUAGAUACCCUCGUAGUC